rnacentral:tRNA from 2 species
GGCCCCGUGGUCUAGCGGUUCAGGACGCCUGGUUCUCAACCAGGAAAUCGCGGGUUCAAAUCCCGCCGGGGUCACCA